UUCAAGUGAGAACCUUCAGGACUGAAGUGGAAGGCAAGUUCUAUGUGAACAGCAGUUGAACACGGGUCAGUCGGUUCUAAGGGAAAUGAUAAUUUUUUUUUUUUCCGAAGCGGGAGCACUUUUACUGCGGAUAGAACCGCAAAGAAUUCGAAAGGGAGUCAGGUUAAUAAUCCCGAACCCGGACACGGAGAUUGGUCCUUAGGGACCCAGUGAGGUAAUGCAAGCUAGCUCGGAGACGCCGAUGCGAGCCCCGGAAAGAGUUAUGUUGUUGUUGUUGGUGUUGUUUUUUUCUGUUGGGAGAUUUAGUUCUUGGAAUGGUUACGCCAGUGCGGCUCUUGCUUUGUCGGGUGGGCUCGAGUCGGCCCUUACAAAUUCGAGUGAGGGAGUGUGAUUUUCGUGCCGGAGCGUACCCACAUCCACAGCAGAUCUCCAAUGUGAACAACCCCUAGUC
rnacentral:rRNA from 1 species